CAUGCAAGUCGAGCGGUAGCACAGAGAGCCUGCUCUCGGGUGACGAGCGGCGGACGGGUGAGUAAUGUCUGGGAAACUGCCUGAUGGAGGGGGAUAACUACUGGAAACGGUAGCUAAUACCGCAUAAUGUCGCAAGACCAAAGUGGGGGACCUUCGGGCCUCAUGCCAUCAGAUGUGCCCAGAUGGGAUUAGCUAGUAGGUGGGGUAACGGCUCACCUAGGCGACGAUCCCUAGCUGGUCUGAGAGGAUGACCAG
rnacentral:rRNA from 1 species